UUUAUGGAGAGUUUGAUCCUGGCUCAGGAUGAACGCUGGCGGCGUGCCUAAUACAUGCAAGUCGAGCGAACGGACGAGAAGCUUGCUUCUCUCUUGC
rnacentral:rRNA from 1 species